GAGGAGGUCAAGGGAAAAAGUUUGAGAGGUUGAAGUAGUAGUUGAAGAGGUGGGGGAGACAGAGAAAGUAGUGGUGGUGGAGGAGGAAAAGGAAGAUAGGAAGAGGGAGAGAGAAGUAUUGUUGAUGGUAGAGACGGAGGUGGUGGGUUUGAGGACAAGAGAGGAGGUGGUGCGUUUGAGGAAAAGAGAGGAGGUGGCAGUAGAGUCUGAGGGUUGGAGCUUGAGGAGGAUGUGGUGGUGGUGGUGGUGUAGGGAUUGGAGAGGAUUGGUGGCCAUUUUAAGAGAAGGUGGAGAAGCUAGGAGGUCAUUAAGGGGAUGGGGUGGAGGGGAAGUAGAAAGGAAUGUGCUGGCUUUGAUAGGAGCAAUGGGGUGUGAGAAUUGUUGGAAGAUAAGAAAUUUGUGAAGAAGUGAAGAGGUUAGUAAGGGCAAAUGCGUAGAUGAAUUUUGAUUGGCUAGAAAUGGGUGUCUCGAUUUUCUCGCCAUAUGGAAUCCGGAUUAAACUAUUCACAAAUAAAAACAACAAAUUAUAUUUGGAUGAGG
rnacentral:misc_RNA from 1 species